rnacentral:rRNA from 1 species
GCCAGACUCCUACGGGAGGCAGCAGUGGGGAAUAUUGGACAAUGGGGGGAACCCUGAUCCAGCGACGCCGCGUGAGUGAAGAAGUAUUUCGGUAUGUAAAGCUCUAUCAGCAGGGAAGAAAGAAAUGACGGUACCUGACUAAGAAGCCCCGGCUAACUACGUGCCAGCAGCCGCGGUAAUACGUAGGGGGCAAGCGUUAUCCGGAUUUACUGGGUGUAAAGGGAGCGUAGACGGCGAUGCAAGUCUGAAGUGAAAGGCGGGGGCCCAACCCCUGGACUGCUUUUGAAACUGUGUAGCUAGAGUGCAGGAGAGGUAAGUGGAAUUCCUAGUGUAGCGGUGAAAUGCGUAGAUAUUAGGAGGAACACCGGUGGCGAAGGCGGCUUACUGGACUGUAACUGACGUUGAGGCUCGAAAGCGUGGGGAGCAAACAGGAUUAGAUACCCGUGUAAC